UUUUGUAAAAGACAAUGUAUGAAAGUAACAACUGCCUUUGUAAAUGAUACUCAAAACAGGAUGAUUUUCUAGACCAGGGCUUCUGCAUAAAAAUGGAGUCACAGGUGUGGGUGGAAUGCAUCUUAGGAAGAAACAGGCAGAAUACAUGUUAAAAAGGAACAUCAAUAUGCUCUUCAAGAUUAUAAGCCAACAUUGGCGUUGUCGUUGGGGGUGGGAUGCCGUAAGGAAACGAUAAGAAUGGUGAUGAUGCCUAGAGAGGCAAAGCAAUGAUUGGGAUAGCAGCACUGAAACGGAAGUACUGCUUAGAUAGGGUAAUGGCAAGACAGCAGAUAGAAAGAGCAUAUAAACAGGUUUGUGUGUGUAUGUAUAUAUCUCUCUGUCAUAUCAGGUACCAUGUUCAGAGAUUUCCAAUAUCGCUAUUCUGAAGACAAUUUUUAGAACUUAAUAUCAUUAGCCCCAUUUCACAGACGGGGAUACUGAGGCCAAAAACUUAAGCAUCUUGACAACAUGUCCAACACCAUGUAGACAUUGAGCAGUAGAACUGCGGUUGAGACCUAAUGAUGUCUGAAUGUACACCUGAGUCCCGUCAAACUCUAGUAUAUCCAUUCUCUUGUAUUUAUUAAGGAGAUAGGUGUCUGUAUUUAAAAACAAAACAACACCUGUCCAAUUGAAGGUAGAAGCACUAAGAACAACAUUUGGAAAAGAUUAAAGGGGUGAGAGAAAGAAGUGAUAUUACUCCGGUUCUGUAUCACAGAGUGCCAGGUCAGACAGAGGGGGUUUUAUGAUAUUUUUUCGAAGCUUGAGUUACAGAAUUAACAAGGGAGGUGAGACUUCAAAUGUCCAGACCUUGCAGUGAAUUUUGUUUUGGCUCAGAACACCAUGUGGUAAAAUCUAGACUUGCCUGUCGAACAAUUUUAAUCCUUCAAGGGUUAAAAAAAUAACCAAGGAAGCUAGAACACAAAGUUUAACUUCACAAGUGAAGAACAUUCAAAAUUGUUCUGGGAAGUGGCGGAAACCUGGGCAAAAGUCACAUUAUUUCAAAGCUCAGGGAACGAUGAGUUGGUAGUACAGUUUUUAUCUGUGCUUGAGAUGCCGAAUGGCUAAGAAGGUUUCUGUUGAAUAUCGAUUUUGAGACCCAUUAGGGAAUUUAGGUUUCUGGAGGUGUUGGGGUGGCAAGAUGGCUUCAUGUGUACUAAGUCUGCUCUAGCCUCUAAGAGUGAGAGUCCAUCUACAGAAUACAUUUGCAAUAUAUCAAGCUUUUUAUUAGCUAAAAUGUUAAGGUAUUCUGUUCAUAUGACAAGUCAGGGCUUUCCCACUCAAUGCUUAUGCAGUUCAUUUUAAAAAAUCUUAAAUGAAGGAUUUUGUUUGUUUCUACUAAACUCUGAUGUGAGCUGGUACCCACUGCUUCCUCUUGUCAAGAUUUAAUUCAGUGGGUAUGUGUGUAAAGGCCCUGGUGUGCAGAACUCUUGUGCUGAAUGAUGUAGGGAGAUGAUUGAUGCAAGAGUCUCAGGUUGGGGGUUAGCGAUGACUUUAAAAAAAACCAACAAAAACAAAUGUCUGUUAAAAGUUUUCCCUGUUAGAAGAGGGAGAGAAUACAUUCAGUUGUGUGCAGUCAGAAAAGAUAACCAGAUAACCUCUACACUGAGAAGACAAUGGUUACAUUCUGUCUUCCUGCCCUAGAAGCCAAUACAGUGCCAGGUGCACAAUCAAUCGAAAGCGGCACGUAAUAGGUGAUAAACGUUUUGUUAGGGAAACUUAAAAAAUGGGUCUUGAAGGAAAAACAGAUUUUGAUGGUUCAGAAAGGGAUGGAUGGGAAUACAUGGUAGUUGAAGGGCAAAUGUAGGUAAAUACACAGCUCCAAGUCAUAAUGAGCUUUUCGGUAAAGGUGAAUUGGUUAGUUUUUGUGGUAUAUGGGGGUAUAUUUUGGAAACUUCAAUGCUUAACAUAUUUAUAAGUCCAUUAUUUUCAAUAUCUUAUGCCAUUCAAGUCAUUAAAACAAAUAUUGUGAACAGAUCACUGACUUAAAGAUACUCUUAAAUCUUUAGAUUUUCAAUCUGAUAUUUUCAGAUCUAUUUAAAAUACUCACUAUACCACGUGCUUUCACCUGGAAUUGUUUCCCUUCUGCCUUAAAAGCUCCUUUGAGAAUUUCUUCAGUUCAGGUCUCCUGGUGAUAAGAUUCCUCAGAUGGUAUAUAAAGGACUUUAUAUUGUCUCUUUUUUGCAGGGUGUUUUCAUUGGGUACAGAAUUCUUGGAAAUUACUUUCAGUGCAUUAAAAAUAGCAUGUCUGAUAUUGUGUCUUCUGGCUGCCCUGAUUCUUUAGUCUUAUUUUUGCCAUUCAAAAACAGUCUCCUCUGUUAACUCUCUACCUCUGCCAACCUUUCAGCUUUAAUAAUGUUCACUAUGUGUUUCUGCAGUUUUAAGGUUUUGGUUUUUUUGUCUUUGGUUUUCAGCAGUUUUUCUAUAAUGGUCUAGGUAUGAAUUUCCUUGGGUUUACCUAACUCAAUGUGUGGCACUUCUUGAACCUUUGGCUUUGUUGUUGUUUAAAAAUAAAUUUUGGAAAAUUCCAGUCAUUGUCUUCAGAUAAUGCUUUUAGCCCAUUUUCUUCUGUCAUCUGCUAUUCUAAUUACAUGUAUAUUAACUUGGGUUUCAUAUGUUGCCUUUCCAGUUUUUUUCUUGAUGCUUUAAUCUGGAUACUUCCUCUUCACGUAGCAUCCACUUCACUUUAUCCAUUCAGGUAUACAUGGUAAGCUGUUAAACCCAUAUAUUGAAUACUUUCUUACAGUGUUUCUAUUUUAAAUUAGGUCUUUUUGAUUCACUUCACCCUGAAAUUCUUUGGAUGAUUCAUUAAACAUACUAAUCAGUUAUUCUAAAGUCAUCUGAUAACUACAAUGCCUGAAUUUCCUGUGGGUCUGUUUCUAUUGUUUCUUUGCCCUUCUUAAAUUUUUGGUUAGUUCUUAGUUUUAUAAGCGUGACUAUUUUAGAUGAAUGCUGGGCACUGCAUCUUAAAAGCAUAGCGAUGAUACUGAGCUCUGGGUGAUACCUUCUUCUGUUUACUUUUCUUCCUGGAGGUGGGCAGGGUGAAGACAGAACACCUAGAUACAUGUGGGAAUUAAGUUCUUCCAAAGGUAGCCUUGAGUCUGCAUGAGGGCUGCUGGGUUUCUGGUCUAUUAUGUGUACUGCUUUGAUUUAGCCCUUGGGAAUCCCAGCUGAAGGUCUGGGUAGUUACCCGGGCCCCUUUUCCCUAGCUGGCCAUGAACCAGACCAUCUUUGUGACUAGAUUUAGAUCAGGUGGUUUACUCCUGGAUGUUUUUUGAUACCUUGAUACCGUGUUGCUGUAAUUUCAAGUGACAGCUUGCCAUUAAGUUACUAAUUUUUUUUUCCCUGGCCUGAAUAAAAACAUCACAAUGUCUUACGUUUGCAUUUAAAGACACUUUCCAAGUUUUUCUUAAAUCAUUUAAUCAUCUCAAUAGCCGUCUGAUGAUCCGCAUUCCAUUGAAGUUCUUUCUGGAGACUUACCUGCAGUUGUAAUUGGUGAAUACAUGGGCUCUUUAUUCAUUUAUCUCCUGUCUGUGAAAUGAAUAUUGUGAAAAAUGCAGAUGGGAAGAAGAGGGGGGUACUUGAAAGGAAUUGAGAAGAUUGGAAUUUUAAAGGACUUGGAGACCCAUUGAUAAUGGAAUGAGGAGGGAGUGGUCAUUUUGCUGCAUAAACUGAGACAAUGGUGUUUCUCCUGUUAAAAAAAAAAAAAAGAAAAAAA
rnacentral:lncRNA from 1 species